rnacentral:rRNA from 1 species
ACGAGUUUGACUCCGUGGCUCGAGGACGAACGCUGGCGGCGCGCCUAACACAUGCAAGUCGAACGAGCAAAGAGGAGCUUGCUUCUCUGAGCGAGUGGCGAACGGGUGAGUAACGCGUGAGGAACCUGCCUCAAAGAGGGGGACAACAGUUGGAAACGACUGCUAAUACCGCAUAAGCCCACGGGUCGGCAUCGACCAGAGGGAAAAGGAGCAAUCCGCUUUGAGAUGGCCUCGCGUCCGAUUAGCUAGUUGGUGAGGUAAUGGCCCACCAAGGCGACGAUCGGUAGCCGGACUGAGAGGUUGAACGGCCACAUUGGGACUGAGACACCGGCCCAGACUCCGUACGGGAGGCAGCAGGUGGGGAAUAUUGCACAAGUGGGGGAAACCCUGAUGCAGCGACGCCGCGUGGAGGAAGAAGGUCUUCGGAUUGUAAACUCCUGUUGUUGAGGAAGAUAAUGACGGUACUCAACAAGGAAGUGACGGCUAACUACGUG